rnacentral:rRNA from 1 species
UUGAAUUAAAUUUAAAUUAAUUUUAAGUUUAUUAUUAUAUAAAAAUAAAAUAUUUUUAUUGUUAUUUGUUUUAUUCUUUAAUUUAUAAAAAAUUUUUUUAUUUAUAGUGAAUUAUUAUUGUAAAAUAAUAUGUAUAUUUAUAUAAAUGUAUUAUUAAAUUAUAAGAAAAUUUAAUUUAUUGUAUCUUGUGUAUCAGAGUUUAUUAAAUUAAUUUUAAUUAUUUAAAUUUAUUCGAAAAUUAAAGAUUUAUUUAAAUAUUAAUUUUAAUGUUUAAUUAUUAUUUAUUAUAUUUAAAUAUAAAUAAAAAGUUAUUGGUUUUAAUUUAUAUCUAAUUUUUUUAGAAAAAAUUAAAUUUAAUUUUUAAUUAUAUAUAAUGUAUUUGAUUAUUUUAUAUUAAUUAAAAAUUAAUUUUUUUAGGGAUAAGCUUAAAAAAAAAUAUUUAAAUAUUUUUUUUUAUUAAAAUUUAUAAUAUUAAUAUUGUGUAUUAAUUUUAUUUUUUUUUAAAAAAUUUUAUUUUAUUAAUUAUUUAUUUAAAAUAUUAAAUAUUUAUAAAAAAAAAUUUUUAAUUAAUAAAUAAUUGUUAUAAUGAUAAAAUUAGUAUAUUUAAAAUUAAGUAAUUAAAUAUUUAUUUUUAAUUAAAAUUAAUGAAUUCGACAAUUUUUUUUUCAAAUGUUUAAUAAAAACAUUUCUUUAUGGUAGUAAUUAUAAAGUAAAAUCUGCCCACUGAUGAUUUAAAGGGCUGCAGUAUUUUAACUGUACAAAGGUAGCAUAAUAAUUAGUUUCUUAAUUAGGAACUUGAAUGAAUGAUUUAAUGAAAUAAAAUUUUUUUUAGUUUUAAUUAAUAAAAUUUUAAAUUUUAAUGAAAAAGUUAAAAUUUUUUUAUUAGACAAGAAGACCCUAUAGAUCUUUAUAAUUUAUUUUAUUUAUAAAAUAAGUUAUUAAAUUGGGGUGAUUUUAAAAUAUAUUAAACUUUUAAAAAUUUUUUUCAUUAAUAUAUGAUUAUUAUAAUUUAUUUUAUUUUUAAAAAUAAGUUACCUUAGGGAUAACAGCAUAAUUUUAAAUUUUAGUUCAUAUAAAAUUUAAAGAUUAUGACCUCGAUGUUGGAUUAGGAUAAUAUUUAGAGGCAAAAGAUUAAAUAUUUAGUCUGUUCGACUAAUGGUUUCCUACAUGAUCUGAGUUUAGACCGGCGUGAGCCAGGUUGGUUUCUAUCUUUAAUUAGGUUAAUUAUAUUAGUACGAAAGGAAUAUUAUAUUUAAAUUUUUUUUUUUUUGAGAAUUAUAUUA